rnacentral:rRNA from 1 species
UACGUAGGGUGCGAGCGUUAAUCGGAAUUACUGGGCGUAAAGCGUGCGCAGGCGGUUCGUCGUGUCCGAUGUGAAAGCCCCGGGCUCAACCUGGGAAUGGCAUUGGAAACUGGCGGACUCGAGUGUGGCAGAGGGGGUGGAAUUCCGCGGUGUAGCAGUGAAAUGCGUAGAGAUGCGGAGGAACACCGAUGGCGAAGGCAGCCCCCUGGGCUAACACUGACGCUCCAGGCACGAAAGCGUGGGGAGCAACAGG